rnacentral:rRNA from 1 species
AUUGAACGCUGGCGGCAUGCCUUACACAUGCAAGUCGAACGCCCCGCAAGGGGAGUGGCAGACGGGUGAGUAACACGUGGGAAUCUACCUAGUUCUACGGAAUAGCCCAGGGAAACUUGGAUUAAUACCGUAUACGCCCUAUGGGGGAAAGAUUUAUCGGAAUUAGAUGCGCCCGCGGUUGAUUAGCUAGUUGGUGAGGUAAUGGCUCACCAAGGCGACGAUCAAUAGCUGGUCUGAGAGGAUGACCAGCCACACUGGAACUGAGACACGGUCCAGACUCCUACGGGAGGCAGCAGUGGGGAAUAUUGGACAAUGGGCGCAAGCCUGAUCCAGCCAUGCCGCGUGAGUGACGAAGGCCUUAGGGUUGUAAAGCUCUUUUAACGGGGAAGAUAAUGACGGUACCCGUAGAAUAAGCUCCGGCUAACUUCGUGCCAGCAGCCGCAGUAA